rnacentral:rRNA from 1 species
CAGCAGCCACGGUAAUACGAGGGGGGCAAGCGUUGUUCGGAUUUAUUGGGCGUAAAGGGUGCGUAGGCGGUUUGGCAAGUCUUGUGUGAAAUCUUCGGGCUCAACCCGAAGCCUGCACGAGAAACUACCGGGCUUGAGUAUUGGAGAGGUGAGUGGAAUUUCCGGUGUAGCGGUGAAAUGCGUAGAUAUCGGAAGGAACACCUGUGGCGAAAGCGGCUCACUGGACAAUAACUGACGCUGAUGCACGAAAGCUAGGGGAGCAAACAGGAUUAGAUACCCCCGUAGUCCCUGUCUCUUAUAC